rnacentral:rRNA from 1 species
UACGUAGGGUGCAAGCGUUGUCCGGAAUUAUUGGGCGUAAAGAGCUCGUAGGCGGUUUGUCGCGUCGGCUGUGAAAGCCCGGAGCUCAACUCCGGGUCUGCAGUCGAUACGGGCAGACUUGAGUGUUGCAGGGGAGACUGGAAUUCCUGGUGUAGCGGUGAAAUGCGCAGAUAUCAGGAGGAACACCGGUGGCGAAGGCGGGUCUCUGGGCAUUAACUGACGCUGAGGAGCGAAAGCAUGGGGAGCGAACAGG